GACGAACGCUGGCGGCGUGCCUAAUACAUGCAAGUAGAACGCUGAAGAGAGGAGCUUGCUCUUCUUGGAUGAGUUGCGAACGGGUGAGUAACGCGUAGGUAACCUGCCUUGUAGCGGGGGAUAACUAUUGGAAACGAUAGCUAAUACCGCAUAACAAUGGAUGACACAUGUCUUUUAUUUGAAAGGGGCAAUUGCUCCACUACAAGAUGGACCUGCGUUGUAUUAGCUAGUAGGUGAGGUAAUGGCUCACCUAGGCGACGAUACAUAGCCGACCUGAGAGGGUGAACGGCCAAACCGGGACUGGGACACGGCCCAGGCCCCUACGGGAGGCAGCAGUAGGGAAACUUCGGCAAUGGGGGCAACCCUGACCGAGGAACGCCGCGUGAGUGAAGGAGGGUUUCGGAUCGUAAAGAUCUGUUGUAAGUCAAGGACGGGUGUUAGAGUGGAAAGUUCACACUGUGACGGUAGCUUACCAGAAAGGGACGGCUAACUACGUG
rnacentral:rRNA from 1 species